rnacentral:rRNA from 1 species
AGUCGAACGGUAACAGGUCUUCGGAUGCUGACGAGUGGCGAACGGGUGAGUAAUACAUCGGAACGUGCCCGAUCGUGGGGGAUAACGAGGCGAAAGCUUUGCUAAUACCGCAUACGAUCUACGGAUGAAAGCGGGGGAUCUUCGGACCUCGCGCGGACGGAGCGGCCGAUGGCAGAUUAGGUAGUUGGUGGGAUAAAAGCUUACCAAGCCGACGAUCUGUAGCUGGUCUGAGAGGAUGAUCAGCCACACUGGGACUGAGACACGGCCCAGACUCCUACGGGAGGCAGCAGUGGGGAAUUUUGGACAAUGGGCGGAAGCCUGAUCCAGCCAUGCCGCGUGCAGGAUGAAGGCCUUCGGGUUGUAAACUGCUUUUGUACGGAACGAAAAGCCUCUUUCUAAUAAAGAGGGGUCAUGACGGUACCGUAAGAAUAAGCACCGGCUAACUACGUGCCAGCAGCCGCGGUAAUACGUAGGGUGCAAGCGUUAAUCGGAAUUACUGGGCGUAAAGCGUGCGCAGGCGGUUUUGUAAGACAGAGGUGAAAUCCCCGGGCUCAAACCUGGGAACUGCCUUUGUGACUGCAAGGCUGGAGUGC